rnacentral:rRNA from 1 species
AGAGUUUGAUCAUGGCUCAGGAUGAACGCUAGCGACAGGCUUAACACAUGCAAGUCGAGGGGUAACAGGGUAGCAAUACCGCUGACGACCGGCGCACGGGUGAGUAACGCGUAUGCAACCUGCCUAUAACUGGGGAAUAGCUCCCUGAAAGGGGAAUUAACACCGCAAACACUAUUGAUUCGCAUGGAUUAGUAGUUAAAUGUAGCGAUACAGGUUAUAGAUGGGCAUGCGUGACAUUAGCUAGUUGGUGAGGUAACGGCUCACCAAGGCUACGAUGUCUAGGGGUUCUGAGAGGAAGGUCCCCCACACUGGUACUGAGACACGGACCAGACUCCUACGGGAGGCAGCAGUGAGGAAUAUUGGUCAAUGGGCGCAAGCCUGAACCAGCCAUGUCGCGUGCAGGAAGACUGCCCUAUGGGUUGUAAACUGCUUUUAUAGUAGAAGAAACACAUCUACGUGUAGAUGUCUGCCAGUAUACUAUGAAUAAGCAUCGGCUAACUCCGUGCCAGCAGCCGCGGUAAU